rnacentral:rRNA from 1 species
AGUUGUAGAAUCACUGGUGAAUAAGGGGUGGGCAAGUUCUGGUGUCAGCCGCCGCGGUAAAACCAGCACCUCGAGUGGUCAGGAGGUUUAUUGGGCCUAAAGCAUCCGUAGCCGGUUGCAUAAGUUUUCGGUUAAAUCUAUGCGCUUAACGUAUAGGCCGCCGAAAAUACUGUGCAGCUAGGGAGUGGGAGAGGUACACGGUACUCGAUAGGAAGGGGUAAAAUCCUUUGAUCUAUUGAUGACCACCUGUGGCGAAGGCGGUGUACCAGAACACGUUCGACGGUGAGGGAUGAAAGCUGGGGGAGCAAACCGGAUUAGAUACCCGGGUAGUCCCAGCUGUAAACGAUGCAGACUCGGUGAUGCAUUGGCUUGUGGCCAAUGCAGUGCCGCAGGGAAGCCGUUAAGUCUGCCGCCUGGGAAGUACGUACGCAAGUAUGAAACUUAAAGGAAUUGGCGGGGGAGCACCACAAGGGGUGAAGCCUGCGGUUCAAUUGGAGUCAACGCCAGAAAUCUUACCUGGGGAGACAGCAGAAUGAAGGUCAAGCUGAAGACUUUACCAGACACGCUGAGAGGUGGUGCAUGGCCGUCGCCAGCUCGUGCCGUGAGAUGUCCUGUUAAGUCAGGUAACGAGCGAGACCCCUGCGUCUAGUUGCUACCAUUACUCUCUGGAGCAGUGGAGCGAAUUAGACGGACCGCCACAGUUAAUGUGGAGGAAGGAAGGGGCCACGGCAGGUCAGUAUGCCCCGAAACCCUAGGGCUGCACGCGGGCUGCAAUGGUAUUGACAUGUGUUCCGAAUCCGAAAGGAGGAGGCAAUCAUCAAACAUAUCUCAGUUAUGACUGAGGGC